rnacentral:lncRNA from 10 species
CAAGCCCAGGAAUACAUCAUCUGACUCACUAUUUUGAAUCAAACUCUUCAGUUUCUCCAUCAACUUAGCUGGCAGCUCCUGUCCCCAGCAGCAUCAGAGGCCCCAUGAAAAGAGCUCCAGCAGGGGCUCAGCCUGCAUGGGUCCCAUGCGGCAGCCUCAGUGUCAGAGCCUGGAUGGCAGGUGAGGCUCCAGUGACACAACCACAAUGUGAAAGUUUUAAAGGAAGCAGCUGGCGAGAGGGGAGCCCAGCACACUAUGCAAGAGAGAUGCCUCUAAGAUUUUAUCUGUGGCCACCGACUGGAGCCAUUUGGACCGGGUACAGCAGUGGAAACUCUGUGAUGGUGACAAACAUGGGAAUCACUCUGAUGUGACGCAGUUAAAUUUACACCUUAAAAAAUGGAUGCCAAGACAACAUAAACAAGACCCAGGGACACCAACAGGGUAUGGUGCUGUGCCCCAGAGUCAGGGUCCUGGGUUCUUACCCAGGGAAGUGAGAAAUAAAGAUAACUUUUCCCUGCUCCCUCUCUCCUCCCCUGACACUGAUCUUCCCACCCUGUACCUCCCUCUUCUGCUCCCAAACCCCCACCCAGUGCUCAGUCGCAGACAUCACUGCCUGCAGGGCAUGCACAGUGCAGCCCAUUGCACACAAACUACAAACUCACAGAAGGUGAUGACAAUUUGUGUUUGGGACGUCUGAUUGUGAAAGAGGGAGGACAGCGUACUUGCAGCCACAGAGACUGAAACUGGAACGUGAUGGAACGGGGCUGGAACGUGAUGGAGCUCUGACAUAACAGACGUGUGACUUUGUGUGAAAUGUGCAGAUCCAUGUGGAAUAAAACACAGCCUAGCCUGUGGCUGCUGCCGUCCACAUUUCCCUCAUCUUCCAACAGAAGUCAGCAGGGUCCCUCCCAGCCUGGAACCUCCCUAGAGACUGCUGACCUCCCUUGGCAGGGCCCACAGGCCAGCAGGGUCCGCCCUCACCAGGGUCACUUGGCCCAUGUCCUCCUUGCUCCUCCAAGCUCCCCACCCAAGUCUGUCAGCUUUUCCCUGCAGCCCAGCGGCCACCCACCUGAGGCCACUCUCUCUGCAGGCAGCUCCUGCCCCCACACCCCAUUUUUCCUGGGGCAGUGCUGGUGCAUGUGAUGCCACACUGGGCACUUUCC